rnacentral:rRNA from 1 species
UGGGGAAUUUUGGACAAUGGGCGAAAGCCUGAUCCAGCAAUGCCGCGUGUGUGAAGAAGGCCUUCGGGUUGUAAAGCACUUUUGUCCGGAAAGAAAACGCCGUGGUUAAUACCCGUGGCGGAUGACGGUACCGGAAGAAUAAGCACCGGCUAACUACGUGCCAGCAGCCGCGGUAAUACGUAGGGUGCAAGCGUUAAUCGGAAUUACUGGGCGUAAAGCGUGCGCAGGCGGUCCGCUAAGACAGAUGUGAAAUCCCCGGGCUUAACCUGGGAACUGCAUUUGUGACUGGCGGGCUAGAGUAUGGCAGAGGGGGGUAGAAUUCCACGUGUAGCAGUGAAAUGCGUAGGGAUGUGGAGGAAUACCGAUGGCGAAGGCAGCCCCCUGGGCCAAUACUGACGCUCAUGCACGAAAGCGUGGGGAGCAAACAGG